AUUCAGUUAAAGAGUCUCAAAUAGGACGAAAUGCACUUCCUGGAU
rnacentral:hammerhead_ribozyme from 1 species